UGGGCGAUUCAUGUUAUAUGUUUUGUUGCAGAUUCUAAUAGCACUUGUGUUUUAUGCAUCGGGGUCCUACCAAAAUUUGAUUGGACAGAGUGCCCUUCAUAAUGUUUCUCAAAUAACUGUGUCGAGAUCUAUAAAGGAAGUAACAGAGGCACUCAAUAAAAUUUACCAUAAAUAUAUUAAAUGGCCUACACAAUCUGAUGAAAGAAAUAUUAUAAAGGCGAAGUUCUAUCAAAAAUUUGGAUUUCCUGGUAUCCUGGGUUGUAUUGAUGGCACCCAUGUAGCAAUACUGAGGCCGCACAUACAUGAGGAACGGUAAAUAGGAAGGGCUUCCAUUCCCUUAAUGUUAUGAUAAUUUGCGAUUCAGAUUUAAAUAUUUUAUGUGUGGAUGCAAGUACCCCAGGCUCUGCUCAUGAUUCCACUGUAUGGCAGAGUCAUCCACUCAGUCUACACUUAAAACAAAUUACAGAAAAUACUAAUGAACAAGUAUUUUUAUUAGGUAUUACAAUAUUUUUUGAUGAAUAAUAUCCUAAGACUUUUAUCAUACGGACUGCCUCGUUGGCCGAGUGGUUGCA